rnacentral:lncRNA from 1 species
CAGAAACAUCUGAUUUCAAAGAGAUGCUCACAUUCUGUACUGAUGCCAUCUAGAAAUGUAAAUGCCCAAUGUCACAUUGCUAAGUGGAGAAAGAUUUCAAGGUGAGAGAUGUGCAUAAAUUAGAGGCAGCUGGAGACAUUUAAAAGUCAGCCUACUAUUCCUGGGUGAUGGCUGCAUCAUAAUAUCCAGUGUACUUACUGAUUGAGUGAACUGUAUUCUCAAACAAGUAAGCAAAUUUAUGCCAAAUUUAGAUAU